rnacentral:rRNA from 1 species
CAGCCGCCGCGGUAAUACGGAGGGGGCUAGCGUUGUUCGGAAUUACUGGGCGUAAAGCGUACGUAGGCGGCUUUGUAAGUUAGAGGUGAAAGCCCAGGGCUUAACUCUGGAACCGCCUUUAAGACUGCAAGUCUUGAACGUCGGAGAGGUGAGUGGAAUUCCGAGUGUAGAGGUGAAAUUCGUAGAUAUUCGGAAGAGCACCAGUGGCGAAGGCGGCUCACUGGACGACUGUUGACGCUGAGGUACGAAAGCGUGGGGAGCAAACAGGAUUAGAUACCCCAGUAGUCCCUGUCUCUUAUAC